rnacentral:rRNA from 1 species
UACGUAGGGGGCAAGCGUUGUCCGGAUUUAUUGGGCGUAAAGAGCGUGUAGGCGGCCAGACAGGUCCGUUGUGAAAACUCGAGGCUCAACCUCGAGAUGUCGAUGGAAACCGUCUGGCUAGAGUCCGGAAGAGGAGUGUGGAAUUCCUGGUGUAGCGGUGAAAUGCGCAGAGUAUCAGGAAGAACACCUAUGGCGAAGGCAGCACUCUGGGACGGUACUGACGCUGAGACGCGAAAGCGUGGGAGCGAACAGG